AGUGAACGCUGGCGGUAGGCCUAACACAUGCAAGUUGAACGGCAGCACAGUAAGAGCUUGCUCUUACGGGUGGCGAGUGGCGGACGGGUGAGGAAUACAUCGGAAUCUACUUUUUCGUGGGGGAUAACGUAGGGAAACUUACGCUAAUACCGCAUACGACCUACGGGUGAAAGCAGGGGAUCUUCGGACCUUGCGCGAUUGAAUGAGCCGAUGUCGGAUUAGCUAGUUGGCGGGGUAAAGGCCCACCAAGGCGACGAUCCGUAGCUGGUCUGAGAGGAUGAUCAGCCACACUGGAACUGAGACACGGUCCAGACUCCUACGGGAGGCAGCAGUGGGGAAUAUUGGACAAUGGGCGCAAGCCUGAUCCAGCCAUACCGCGUGGGUGAAGAAGGCCUUCGGGUUGUAAAGCCCUUUUGUUGGGAAAGAAAAGCAGCAGGCUAAUACCCCGCUGUUCUGACGGUACCCAAAGAAUAAGCACCGGCUAACUUCGUG
rnacentral:rRNA from 1 species